CUCUGUGACUCCUACGGGAGGCAGCAGUGGGGAAUAUUGCACAAUGGGCGCAAGCCUGAUGCAGCCAUGCCGCGUGUGUGAAGAAGGCCUUCGGGUUGUAAAGCACUUUCAGUCGUGAGGAAGGUGGUAGUGUUAAUAGCACUAUCAUUUGACGUUAGCGACAGAAGAAGCACCGGCUAACUCCGUGCCAGCAGCCGCGGUAAUACGGAGGGUGCGAGCGUUAAUCGGAAUUACUGGGCGUAAAGCGCAUGCAGGUGGUUUGUUAAGUCAGAUGUGAAAGCCCCGGGGCUCAACCUCGGAAUUGCAUUUGAAACUGGCAGACUAGAGUACUGUAGAGGGGGUAGAAUUUCAGGUGUAGCGGUGAAAUGCGUAGAGAUCUGAAGGAAUACCGGUGGCGAAGGCGGCCCCCUGGACAGAUACUGACACUCAGAUGCGAAAGCGUGGGGAGCAAACAGGAUUAGAUACCCUGGUAG
rnacentral:rRNA from 1 species